GGCUACAACCUGGGCAAUCAAUGUCUGAAUUUGUUGACAAGCUUCGUGAAUUCGAUAAUUUUGAUGAGUCAGAAAAUAUCCUUCAACUUGCUAGUGCUGCUACAUCUGGAGGGGAGAUUGGUGAUUGAAGGGUCAUUUUAUAAGCGUGAUUGGCUAAGUUGGUGGUCCAUCUUUUUGUGGAAAUUGUGGAGAGUAAAGCUUCAAUUAUAAAAUUUAGAUUGUCUUGCU